rnacentral:piRNA from 1 species
UGAGAUCCAACUGUAAGGCAUUU